rnacentral:rRNA from 1 species
UACGUAGGGUGCAAGCGUUAAUCGGAAUUACUGGGCGUAAAGCGUGCGCAGGCGGCUUUGCAAGACAGAUGUGAAAUCCCCGGGCUUAACCUGGGAACUGCAUGUGUGACUGCAUGGCUAGAGUGCGGCAGAGGGGGAUGGAAUUCCGCGUGUAGCAGUGAAAUGCGUAGAUAUGCGGAGGAACACCGAUGGCGAAGGCAAUCCGCUGGGCCUGCACUGACGCUGAUGCACGAAAGCGUGGGGAGCAAACAGG